rnacentral:misc_RNA from 1 species
CACGUCCAGUCGGAUUGUUUUGGCCACCUUUACGGAUGAUGGACUCGUGCGCAUGACCGCUCUAACCACCGGAAUCCGUCGUGGCGCCCGUCUUGAAGUCGGAAGGCUCCUGCUCCGAUUGCCAGUCCCGUUGCUGCAAAGGCCAAGGCCCCGAAGGAAUCCACCAAGGGAAAGGUCCUGUUUGUGGGAAAUCUGAAGCGAAACAUCAACGUCCAGCAGCUGGCGGCGAAAUUCUCUCCGUUCGGAACCGUUACGGCGCUCCGGCUCGUGAUUAACAAGGAGACGGGACGCUCCAAGGGUUUCGGUAACAUCCAGUACGUGGAGGCGGCCGAUGCCGCCAAGGCCAUGGUCCAGAUGAACGGUCGCCUAGUGGAGGGACAGAAGCUGAAGGUGACGAUGGCGCACCAGCCAAACUUUAUGGAAUUCUGAGAUUUACCCAGACCGAACUGCACCCGUUUGGUGCUGGCCGCCGACGGGCAGAAGAUGAGCAAGCGCAAGAAGAACUACCCGUACCCGUUGGAGGUGCACCACAAAUACGGGGCGGACGAGCUGCGACUGUACCUCAUCAAUUCGCCGGUUGUGCGCGCGGAGAAUUUGCACUUCAAGGAAGACGGCUUCAAGGACAUCAUCAAGGACGUGUUCCUGCCGUGGUUCAACGCGUUCCGCUUCCUGUUGCAGAAUACUGAUCGGUUCGAGAAGGAGGACAAGAUUGUUUAUCGAUAUGACGCGGGUCGUCACGCAAGCAAGAGCUUGACGAAGGUGAUGGACGUGUGGAUACAUCGUUCAAAGAGUCGCUACUGGAGUUUGUGGCCAAGGAGAUGAAGGCGUACCAGUUGUACACGGUCGUGCCGCGGUUGACCAAGUCCAUCGAUCAGCUGACCGACUGCGGUUGCGCCAGCUGAACAUGGAGAAUAUCGAGGAAGUGUGCACUUCCAGAUGAUGUUCACUUCAAAUAGGAAGUACUUCGACCUGCC